rnacentral:rRNA from 1 species
UACGUAGGUGGCAAGCGUUGUCCGGAAUUAUUGGGCGUAAAGCGCGCGCAGGCGGUCCUUUAAGUCUGAUGUGAAAUCCCUGGGCUCAACCUGGGAAUUGCAGUCGAUACUGGGAAGCUCGAGUUCGGUAGAGGACGGCGGAAUUCCCGGUGUAGCGGUGAAAUGCGUAGAUAUCGGGAGGAACAUCGAUGGCGAAAGCAACCGUCUGGGCCUGAACUGACACUGAGACACGAAAGCGUGGGGAGCAAACAGG